rnacentral:rRNA from 1 species
GGAUGCGUGCUUUGCACGCAUGGUAGGAGAGCGUUCCGUAAGCCUGCGAAGGUGCGUUGAAAAGCGUGCUGGAGGUAUCGGAAGUGCGAAUGCUGACAUGAGUAGCGAUAAAGGGGGUGAAAGGCCCCCUCGCCGUAAGCCCAAGGUUUCCUACGCAACGUUCAUCGGCGUAGGGUGAGUCGGCCCCUAAGGCGAGGCAGAAAUGCGUAGCUGAUGGGAAGCAGGUCAAUAUUCCUGCACCAUUGUUAGAUGCGAUGGGGGG